GUUCGUUGUGGAUGUGUUUCAACGGGUGCAAAACACGAUGGGCUUUUAGGCUGAAAUUGUACAAGAACAAAGAUGGUUAUUAGCUCGUGCUUGACCUAACAGAGAGAGAAGCACACGAGAACUAUGAAAGCUAUAGAAAUACUGAUUACACGAAAAAUACUCCAUAAAACUUUCCAGUGAGCUUGAACAAGAUGGCGGCUGUUCAUACCUGACAUCUGAGGCUGAUAGCCAAUAUAUAUACACACCAACCAGCAAGCUUAUCAUGGAAUAGUCCARUAUCUAUCUUGUAAUAAUGGAUUAACUGCAUUAAAACAAAAGAAAAAGACUUUGAUAGCAAUAUGGACUCACCUUGUUAAUUUAUGAGUAUUGACCUAAUUAAUGAUGUGGUAACCUGGUGAUGACCCUGUGACCUUCAUAAGAAUGUGGACUCACCUUGUUGCUAUAUGGAUAUUGAAGUAAAUAGCUCAGUCAUACCUCAUUCUGGCAAACCUUACUGGUCAAAACGACUUGUGAGGCAAUUAUAUUUGACUGGACAAGUCCCGUUCUGGCCGGACAUUGUCUGACGUCUGGCCGUUAUUUUCAAGCCCUGCAGCAUAAUAUAGCAUUGUACAGUAAACUUUAUGUUUAGUGCCAUAGAGCAUUUUCACUCAUGUGACAAGGCAGCCAUAAACAAUAGAAACUUUCUACGCAGUAUUUGCAUAAAAAUAGAGUUAAAUUCCCGGAGGAUAGAAAAUGUAUUGUUUUGGUACCCCAUAAUGGUCGCUGUGAUGUCAUGUGAAAACGCUCUAUAAAAAUAUGUGUAUCAAGUUGUAGUUUAGUAGGGUACAUCAGUGUACAGUACUUUAUCUUAAAAAUUUGUAAAGCCAAUCUAUAUAAUUCAUACCUGUUCCUAAAUUGUUAUCUCAUCCUAUUUUCAGCUUGUCAGCCAUUACAGAUAAGUCCAAGUGUUAUGAUGCUGUCAACUUCUUGCAGGCCAUUCUAGUGCAACAAACAACUUACCAGCCAUUACAGUCAAGUAUCUUGUGAUGCUGUGUAGCUUUGGCCAGUAUACAUGACAGACAAGUA